rnacentral:rRNA from 1 species
UACAGAGGGGGCAAGCGUUAUUCGGAAUUAUUGGGCGUAAAGGGCGCGUAGGCGGCUUGGCAAGUGGAUGGUGAAAUCCCUCGGCUUAACCGAGGAACUGCCGUCCAAACUGCUUCGCUUGAGACCGGGAGAGGUGAGUGGAAUUCCCAGUGUAGCGGUGAAAUGCGUAGAUAUCUGGAGGAACACCGGUGGCGAAGGCGGCAUCCUGGACCGGCAGUUGACGCUGAGGCGCGAAAGCCAGGGGAGCAAACGGG